GGUUCCAUGGUCUAGUGGUUAGGACAUUGGACUCUGAAUCCAGUAACCCGAGUUCAAAUCUCGGUGGAACCU
rfam:Nelumbo nucifera unplaced genomic scaffold scaffold00090, whole genome shotgun sequence